rnacentral:other from 1 species
GCGGUGCUGCCUGGUGCGUCAGGAGCUCGAUUCCCAGGGGCCUUAUCGAACGUCCAGGGAGCUGUCCCUGACCGGGGCCCUGGCCCCGGACACACGGCGCCCACCUGCUAUGAGCAGGUCCCAGUGGAUUCACCCUCCAACGGCCGAGGCGGGCCGCA